CACUGGUGUCCAGCAACAGGGAUCCACUGCUGAGCGUAAGUAAAAAAUGCUUUAACUGUACACAUUUUCUUUACCGGCAUACUAGUUUAUGUAACAGGCAGGGCCAGGUCAACCGCUAAGCAAACUAGGUGUCUGCCUAGGAUGCACUGGCCAGGGGGCUCAAUGUCUGGGUGACCAGCAGGGGUGGAGGGGUAUAGAAUUCAUCGCUCCUCUCCUUCUGUUCACUUUAUGUACUGUGGCUGAGUGGACCACGUGUGAUGUUCUCUACCAUCUACUUGGCCUGACAGGAAGCUGAGUGCAACGAUCAGCUUCCUGUCACGCAGAAGAAACAGGAGAUUCUCUACCUGGGGAUGCUCGGCCACGAUACAUGUAGUGAGAUUAGAAGGAAAGGAAGGUGGGCACAAAGACAUGCGUUUAGAGGUCACAAAGAGACAGAGAAAGGGCUAGGGGGGGACAAAGAUGCAUAACUAUACUUAGACAUAAUAAUAAAUUAAUAGCAUGACUGCAUAUAUCUUAUUUCCAAGUUUAAAUAAUAUUGUUGUACAGAUAAUAGUAAGCAUUGCAACAUAUGACACAUGCUAACAAUGUUCCUUUUCUGUUCUCCCCUAUAGGUUCUGAUUGUACUAUCCCCCUGCAAGAGGAGGGUACCAUUACCCUAACAGCAGUGGAUCCUGAUUCAGUGACAUCAGUGGCCGAAGAAAUGCAGUUGCCACAACUUCCUCCACUGUUGGCUACGCUGUAUGCGACGAUCCAGGCUCUUCAAGCUGAACUGGAGAUGUCCAUACAGCAGGAUAGGGAGAAUCAGCGAGAACUAUUGCAGAAUGUAAU